AGUCACAGGGUUGAGAUAAUUUUGCAGCACACCUUAGUAUCUUGCUUCCACCUCCACUCCCCAAAGUACCUUCCCCUGUUGGUAGAUCUUCACAUGAUCUGUUUGGCGGUCUGCAGACAUUUUUGCUGGACAAUUUUCAUCUUGCCCAAGGAUAUGGAAACUCCACUUAUUUACCCAGAGUUGAGAAAUCUUCGGAGAGGCUCCAAGCGGUAGUUCCCGAGAGUUCCACACUGGAUUUGCAGAUCUGCGGAACGCUGAGGACCUGAGCAUGACAACCUGUGAAUGCUGGGCAAGCAUGGUGGGCCAGGGGAAUGGAAAGCUCAACUUUCCAAAAGACCCCUGGGGGUGAGAGUCAGCCAAAUAAUUAAUAAAGUCUGAUGUUCUUGCUGGAUGUAGAGAAUAGAAAAUACUUUCAAA